rnacentral:rRNA from 1 species
GAUGAACGCUGGCGGCGUGCCUAACACAUGCAAGUCGAACGGACAUUUUUUGGAAAGCUCUUCGGAACUGGAAUCUAAAUGUUAGUGGCGGACGGGUGAGUAACACGUGGGCAACCUGCCUUAUAGAGGGGAAUAGCCUUCCGAAAGGAAGAUUAAUACCGCAUAAGAUUGUAGCUUCGCAUGAAGUAGCAAUUAAAGGAGCAAUCCGCUAUAAGAUGGGCCCGCGGCGCAUUAGCUAGUUGGUGAGGUAACGGCUCACCAAGGCGACGAUGCGUAGCCGACCUGAGAGGGUGAUCGGCCACAUUGGGACUGAGACACGGCCCAG